CCUACGGGAGGCAGCAGUGAGGAAUAUUGGUCAAUGGACGGAAGUCUGAACCAGCCAUGCCGCGUGCAGGAAGACGGCUCUAUGAGUUGUAAACUGCUUUUGUACAAGGGUAAACCUGAAUACGUGUAUUCGGCUGAAAGUACUGUACGAUUAAGGAUCGGCUAACUCCGUGCCAGCAGCCGCGGUAAUACGGAGGAUCCAAGCGUUAUCCGGAUUUAUUGGGUUUAAAGGGUGCGUAGGCGGAUUGAUAAGUUAGAGGUGAAAUGUCCGAGCUUAACUCGGGAACUGCCUCUAAUACUGUUGAUCUAGAGAGUAGAUGCGGUAGGCGGAAUGUAUGGUGUAGCGGUGAAAUGCUUAGAGAUCAUACAGAACACCGAUUGCGAAGGCAGCUUACCAAUCUAUAUCUGACGUUGAGGCACGAAAGCGUGGGGAGCAAACAGGAUUAGAUACCCCUGUAGUC
rnacentral:rRNA from 1 species